rnacentral:miRNA from 1 species
UGCGGGAAGUGGGGGGAAGGGACAGAGUCGCGCGACUCUGUCCCUUCCCCCCACUUCCCGCA